UACGUAGGGGGCUAGCGUUGUCCGGAAUCAUUGGGCGUAAAGCGCGUGUAGGCGGUCCGGUAAGUCCGCUGUGAAAGUCGGGGGCUCAACCCUCGAAUGCCGGUGGAUACUGUCGGGCUAGAGUGCGGAAGAGGCGAGUGGAAUUCCUGGUGUAGCGGUGAAAUGCGCAGAUAUCAGGAGGAACACCAAUUGCGAAGGCAGCUCGCUGGGACGUUACUGACGCUGAGGAGCGAAAGCGUGGGUAGCAAACAGG
rnacentral:rRNA from 1 species